GGCAGUGUGGCACAGUGGUUAGAGCGUCCAACUAUGAACUGGGAGACCAAGGUUUGAAUCCCACCACUAGGCCA